rnacentral:snRNA from 1 species
CUAACAAUACAGAGAAGAUUAGCAUGGCCCCUGUGCAAGGAGGACACACAAAUUUAUGAAGCAUUCCAUAUUUUU